AUGCAGUCGACGCCCUCUUCGGAGGGAGUGGCAGACGGGUGAGUAACACGUGGGAACGUACCCUUCGGUUCGGAAUAACUCAGGGAAACUUGUGCUAAUACCGAAUACGUCCGAGAGGAGAAAGAUUUAUCGCCGAAGGAUCGGCCCGCGUUUGAUUAGCUUGUUGGUGAGGUAAUGGCUCACCAAGGCAACGAUCAAUAGCUGGUCUGAGAGGAUGAUCAGCCACAUUGGGACUGAGACACGGCCCAAACUCCUACGGGAGGCAGCAGUGGGGAAUAUUGGACAAUGGGCGAAAGCCUGAUCCAGCCAUGCCGCGUGAGUGAUGAAGGCCCUAGGGUUGUAAAGCUCUUUUACUCGGGAAGAUAAUGACGGUACCGAGAGAAUAAGCCCCGGCUAACUUCGUGCCAGCAGCCGCGGUAAUACG
rnacentral:rRNA from 1 species